rnacentral:rRNA from 1 species
UACGUAGGGUGCGAGCGUUAAUCGGAAUUACUGGGCGUAAAGCGUGCGCAGGCGGUUUUGUAAGCCAGAUGUGAAAUCCCCAGGCUUAACCUGGGAACUGCGUCUGAUACUGGAUGGCUUGAAUUCGGGAGAGGGAUGCAGAAUUCCAGGUGUAGCGGUGAAAUGCGUAGAUAUCUGGAGGAAUACCGGUGGCGAAGGCGGCAUCCUGGACCGAGAUUGACGCUGAUGAGCGAAAGCUAGGGGAGCAAACGGG